GAUGAACGCUGGCGGCGUGCCUAAUACAUGCAAGUCGAGCGAACAGACGAGGAGCUUGUUCCUCUGACGUUAGCGGCGGACGGGUGGGUAACACGUGGAUAACAUACCUAUAAGACUGGGAUAACUUCGGGAAACCGGAUCUAAUAACGGAUAAUAUAUUGAACCGCAUGGAUCAAUAGUGCAAGACGGCUUUGCUGACACAUAUAGAUGGAUCCGCGCUGCAUUAUCGAGUUGGUAAGGUAACGGCCUACCAAGGCAACGAUGCGUAGCCGACCUGAUGGGGUGAUCGGCCCCACUGGAACUUGAACCCGGGCCAAACUCCUACGGGAGGCAACAGUAGGGAAUUUUCCGCAAUGGGCGGAAACCUGACGGAGCAACGCCGCGUGAGUUAUGAAGGUCUUCGGAUCGUAAAACUCUGUUAUUAGGGAAGAACAAAUGUGUAAGUAACUAUGCACGUCUUGACGGUACCUAAUCAGAAAGCCACGGCUAACUACGUG
rnacentral:rRNA from 1 species